UACGUAGGGUGCGAGCGUUGUCCGGAAUUAUUGGCGUAAAGAGCUCGUAGGCGGCUUGUCGCGUCGGAUGUGAAAGCCCGGGGCUUAACUCCGGGUCUGCAUUCGAUACGGGCAGGCUAGAGUUCGGUAGGGGAGAUCGGAAUUCCUGGUGUAGCGGUGAAAUGCGCAGAUAUCAGGAGGAACACCGGUGGCGAAGGCGGAUCUCUGGGCCGAUACUGACGCUGAGGAGCGAAAGCGUGGGGAGCGAACAGG
rnacentral:rRNA from 1 species